rnacentral:rRNA from 1 species
GACGAACGCUGGCGGCGUGCUUAACACAUGCAAGUCGAGCGGAAAGGCCCUGCUUGCCGGGUACUCGAGUGGCGAACGGGUGAGUAACACGUGGGUGAUCUGCCCUGCACUUCGGGAUAAGCCUGGGAAACUGGGUCUAAUACCGGAUAUGACCUUCCAUGUAGUGUGGGGGGUGGAAAGAUUUAUCGGUGUGGGAUGAGCCCGCGGCCUAUCAGCUUGUUGGUGGGGUAAUGGCCUACCAAGGCGUCGACGGGUAGCCGGCCUGAGAGGGUGGACGGCCACAUUGGGACUGAGAUACGGCCCAGACUCCUACGGGAGGCAGCAGUGGGGAAUAUUGCACAAUGGGCGGAAGCCUGAUGCAGCGACGCCGCGUGGGGGAUGACGGCCUUCGGGUUGUAAACCUCUUUCGACAGGGACGAAGCUUCGGUGACGGUACCUGUAGAAGAAGCACCGGCUAACUACGUG